rnacentral:RNase_P_RNA from 11 species
UAGGCGAGGGGGCUGGGGGCUGUCGGGCUCGUACCCGAGGAAGUUCCGCCCACCGCACCGGGGCCGCGGUGCCGCAAGGCACCUCCCGAGAGGGAGGGCAACGGCACAGAAACGACACGUCCCUCGGGGGAUGUGGAUGAAAGCGGAGAAGGCUCCUGGCGACAGGAGCCGAGCUAACCCGCAGACAAUCCCGAGGGGAGCGGUGAAACGGCCGUCCCGCGGGGUGCAAGGCCGAGUUAGGGCCAAUGAGUUCCCGGUGUGAGGCCCGUGGUAGGCCGCUUAGUCGAAUGCCCCCGCAGGUACAGAAGGCGGGCUAUAGCCCCCUCGCCUA